rnacentral:rRNA from 1 species
UACGUAGGCAGCGAGCGUUGUUCGGAGUUACUGGGCGUAAAGGGUGUGUAGGCGGUUGUUUAAGUUUGGUGUGAAAUCUCCCGGCUCAACUGGGAGGGUGCGCCGAAUACUGAAUGACUUCGAGUGCGGGAGAGGAAAGUGGAAUUCCUGGUGUAGCGGUGAAAUGCGUAGAUAUCUGGAGGAACACCGGUGGCGAAGGCGGCAUCCUGGACCGACAUUGACGCUGAGGCGCGAAAGCCAGGGGAGCGAACGGG